GGUCCGCUGGCUCAAUGGCAGAGCGUCUGACUACGAUUCUGUCCGAGAUCUCAUGAUAUCGGCUGAUUGGGAAUCAGGAGGUUCCAGGUUCGACCCCUGGGUGGAUCG